ensembl:lncRNA
CUACUGUACUUCUAGGAUUUAAGGGGAUUAUGAUGAGUUAUUUAUCUGAAGUGCUGUACUUUUUAUGUUUGAGGACAGUGCUGUUCACUUGAAUCACUACACUGAAUGAGUACAUUUUAUUUUUUAACAAUUUCACUGUUCCACGUUUGGCUGAUCUUUUUUUUUUUUUUUUUUUCUACAGCAUAGCUACUGUAUAUUCCUAACGUUAACAAUGUGGUUUUGUUCACAUUUUCUUGCAGAUACCUUGACCGGAGCAUAACUGGUUAACUUCACACAAGAGACCUACUGUUGGACAAUCGUUUUGGCUUUAAAGGUAAAUGCAUUGUUAGUUACAAUGUCUAGUUACUGGGCCAAAAGGAGACGAAUAUUGAAAGGAGUUGAGAGGGACAAACAGGAAAUUGCAGCUGCAAACGAUGCUCUACUUGCUGUUAUUCCUGACUUUGACCAAGUAAAUCCUCCUGUUAAUGAACAUCAACAUGGAAUGGCUUCAACAAGCCAUGGACAAACUGUAACCCCUGAAGCACAGGAAAUAACUGUUGAUGAGGUGUAUGAACCUAGUGAAAUUUUUUCCUCAAGCACAGAAGAUAGUGAGGAGGAAGAGGAUUGCCUAAGGACACAAUUGGCAGGGUGGGCUAUUGACAACAUGAUCCCCCAUGUGGCACUGGGUAAGCUUUUAACCAUUUUGUUAUUGGCCCCCAUUUAACCUCCGCAAAAAAGACAAAGGCAACAAUUUAGCCAUCCGCUGCACGCCUCCACACAGCACCUGGGAGAAACAUCAUUUUAAGUUUAUGAAGGGAGCAGAAUGUUGGCAAGAGGCGAUGAGAUAUUUGGUGCGCUUCCAAACAGGUUCUAGCGUUGAAACGACGGACGAUGACAAGAAGAGAAAGAGAAAGAGAAUCUCAAAUUCCAAGUACAGACCCCAGGCCUCUUCUGAUGAAGAGGAGUCUAGUCUUCCAGAUGCACCAGCAGUGCUGUCGUUUGGGCAACCUCUUUUGAGCUUUGAAAACAUUGUUCCUGGUAACAAGGUUUCAGUGCUGCCCGAUGCUCCAGAAGUUGCAUCGAUUCCAGAAAACCAGGAAAAUGUUGUGCCAUCUGUAGACUUCAGAGGUGAACCAGGUUUCUCCCCAGAAAUUCAGACUCCACUUCACAGAGCCAAGAGUUUGAGUACAAGACACUUGACUGGUUACUCGCCGCAGCAGUUUCUGGAUGAAAGGUGUCGAGCUCGUCAAGUACUAAGCUUUACACCCCCAGCAGCAAAUUUACCCUGGCAGCAUAUGGGUGAAAACGCUGGAGGAGAAAGUCAUCGCUCUGUAAUUGGCCCUUGGACUCCCCUGGCAUCUCGUGUACAGCAUGAAGUUUUCAGCUAUGAAGAUUUCCAGAGACUCCAGAAUGAAAAACAAGCCGUGAUGGAGGAGAACCAAGCCCUUAGGGAGGAGAACCAAGCUCUGAGGGAGGAGAACCAAGCUCUGAGGGAAAGCACUGCACGAGCAGCUUCGGAUGACAGCGGCUCACUUCAAGAGCAGGUGAAGCAAGUUGGGACAAUGUUGAAGACGUUUGCUCGCACUGGGCAAUCAGGUGCAGAUCAGACCUUAAUGCUGCGACGUCUUGGAGAGUUUGGCGAUGUUGUGCGUAGCAUGGACAACAAAAUGGACACUAUGCUGCAACAUUUCAGUGCCAAUGUGUCUGUUGGAGAGUUAUCCCUGCCAGGGGAUCUGUUACUCCCCCUAGACACCCAGGAAGAUUUGGUGUUGCUUGACAACAGUUUGAGGCAGGAUAAAGAGCUCCAGGAACGAUUUGUAAGUGUGCUGAUUUCGUUUAUAACUCCAUAGGGUAAUCUAAAAAGUAGAAUUAAGAUUGUACACUGCAUAUUCUACAGUCUGAAUCCAUAGCCUGUCACAUUUUAUAUUUAUGUAUGAUAAGCUUCAGAGAAAUGUAAUUUGUAACACUUUUUUUGGAUUUUCAGCUUCGGUUUUUGGCAAUCAAAUGUGGGAGGGACCUAAAGACAACCGUCUGGCGGAUGCUUCAAAGUAUCUUCUCUAAUCACCUUUCCAUCAAUACAACCUGGACUGGAGUUGGGGAUAAAGCAUGUUUUAGAGACAUGUUCCUGAAGACCAUUGUUCAAAGUAAGUUGGAUGUAAAAAAAAAAAAAAAAAAAAAAAAAUAUGUUUAGUAGAUGUGUAUGGCAUUAUGCCAUUCAAAUGGAAUGACAGAUCUGUAUUUUCUACAGGAGCCAUCCGGAAGAACCCGGCAACACAGGAUGCCACUGAUGAAGCCAUCCAGGUUAACGUUACGCGUUACCUGAAAGGAGCAUCUGACCGUGAAGGCGGAAAAAGGCGCCGCACAGCUGAGAGGGACCCACAGCCGACCCCUUAAACCUAGGCUGACUACUGACAUCCCAGCAUCACUGACAACUGGAACCCUUUCUUUAUCCUGCAGUCAGUAACAUCAAGACCCCUAAAGAAGCCAGAAGUGUCAGACUGCACUCCCCAAUCCACACUGUUCACUGUGGAUAUUAUCAUAGUGCUUAACUUAUUAUAUUGUUAAAUAUAGCUUGUAAAUCCUUGUGCCACAGGUCAGCAUUGCAGUUAUAUCUGUUCUACUACUUUUUUUACCUCAGUAUUUUUUAUAUAUAUUUGAAGAUGUUUAUCACAGAUACAAGAGACAUCUUGUACCCCAGGUCAGCAAUGCCAUUAUAAUGGUCUAUUCUACUCCAGAGCUUUAUUCUAAAUUAUUACCACUUAUCUUAUUGUUAGAAAUGGCUUGUAAAUGUGAUGUUAUACCUGAAUUUUUUUUGGUGUCCUGCACAUUCUUUGGUACCAGAUAUACUCAUUACUUAUGUUUUCUGGUAAUUCUUUUCAUGCCAGAGCUGACCUCUUUAUAUUAUUAACAAUUAUUGUAAGUGUUAUAAUUUGCUUGUAAGCUAAGGCUGUUUUUUUUUUUUUUUUACAAUUUAAUUGGAAACCUGCAUGUGUGUGUGUGUGUGUGUGUGUGUGUGUGUGUAUUUAUUUUAUUUUUUUCUCUUUUUUUCUGUUAUUUAUAUUUCAGGGAUCUGACAUCAUGUUUCAAUGACAGUUACUGUACUUUGAAAUGUGGAAUUAAAACGUCAAAUGGAAAUUUGUCUGGUUUGAUCAAUCAUUAUUCUUGAUAAACUGCAUUAUAUAUAUAAUAUAUAAUAUAUAUAUAAAUAAAUAAAUAAGCAAGCGGCGACCGAUCGCUCGAAAAUAGCGUUUGCCUCCGACGGGCCGCGGAAGGGUCGCCUUUGAUAUAACGGCGGCGGGACGGCGGUUGGCCCGCGGGCCGGCCGCGGAACGAAGGCGGUAGGAAGGCGGCUGCCGCUUCUAAAAAGCGGCUGCCGCCGGCGGUGCACCGUCAAACGUGUUUGCGAUUACGCUAUUCUGACGCUUCUACUGCCGCCGGAGCGCCGCCGGCGGUCCGCCGACUCAUUGCUAUCUGGGAUGUCACAGAACUCUUCCCGCGCUCUCCGUCAGAAUUCAAACAUUAACGGUCGAACUUGGCGGCUGUUCGCUUUCUUAUGUGUGAUUAUUUUCAUAUAACGUUUUGGGCACUUCCAUUUUAACAAAUAAAGUGAAAGUACCACAAAACAUGAAACGAAGAUGUCUUGGACGAGGAGAGCUCGUCCAAAUUUGUGGUAAGAAAUAAUAUCCUUUUAUUAUCAUAGUUAAGCUUAAUCGCGUUUGUGAACGUUACGUAAUUUGGAGCAAUUUAUUUAAUGAAAGUAGGUGUAUUCUGGUCGUCAUCGUGGACAUUGUGUCUCCACCAUUAUGCUUUUCAUCACUUAAAGGUCUUCAGGAUGUAAUUUUGAUUAAAUUUGGGCUUUGUCUGAUUCAAGGUAAUGUUAUACCCUCACUAAUCGCGAUGCGCUGUAUAAAUCCCCUUCAGACAUAGUAAACGGAU